rnacentral:tRNA from 3 species
GCGGGCGUAGCUCAAUGGCAGAGCGUCGGCCUUCCAAGCCGAUUACGAGGGUUCGAUUCCCUUCGCCCGCUCCA